rnacentral:lncRNA from 1 species
GAAAAUAACAAUAUGAAAGAGGGAAAAGAUGAUAGAGAAUAAAAGUCAGGGUUGUCCUGGUCCAAACAGAGCCUUGUGCUGUUUCUCCCUGCUAUGCUUUUUCCCAGUCACCUAGAAUAUUUGCCACCUCGCAAAACCCCCUGGAACUAAAAUCAUAGAAUUAGCCAAUAAGGUAAACAAAACAAUAGGAAGCCCUAUUUGACAUGCAGCAGUAGCUAAAAAACUGCUUCCUUACCCCAGUCGGGCUUUCUUUCCUGCUGGGAAGGUAGGAGGCAACUCUUAACACCGCAGGAGGAACACCUCAGCCCUCUCCUGCCCCACAUCUCGGGAGAAAGUACUUCAAGUUUCUCAGCACCGUGAAUGCGACCUGGAGCUCCGAGGCAGCACCCACACGGCACACGCGAGAAGGCGCGGGCGGGGAACUCCAAAGGCUCCUAGGCAGGCUGCUCAGGGAACCGAAGCUAAGAAACAAGAAGCACAGUAUGAUCACAGCAAUUUGAAAAGGCUAGUUAACGACCAGUGGGAUCGUCUCAGAUGGAGUUUGGAAUCCAUCCAAACAUUGAUGAUUUGGUUUUUUUCCUCAUUUUACAGGCCUAGCAGGAAUGAUCCGUGAAGCAAGUGAGGGAUGGUCUGCAGUGCUUCUCCACACAUGUCAGGGGUUCCCAGCCCUGCCUGAACGUUAGAGCCAUGCCCGGAACAAGUGGAGAAGACCCAAGUCCCAGACCCACUCCAGAACAAUUCAAUCAAAGCCUGUCUCGUGGCCAGGAGCUUUUUGGGCAUUCUGAGCAAAACUUCUCCUUCAAGGCUUCCUCGUCUCCAGCAAGCACAUCUAUACGCUCUACACACAUAUGUGUUUUGGCAGCGGAGAGAUUUCCUUGAGGAUUUCCUUUGAGGAUGCAUUAUAAAGCACUGACUUCCGGCAGAGCCAAAACGACCUGUGGACAGAGGCAUCAGCAGGCAGCAUAUGUGUUCCCUCCACCUAGCAAGAAAUUCGACAGAGCAUCUUUGGGUCCGGGGAAAAGAAGGUGGGCAGAGAGCUGAGGAAUGUCUUCAUUUCCUUUCCUGUCAUUAAGCCCCACUGGAGCCUGGGGCUUUGUCAGCUCCAGGCAGACUCCCAUCUCCAACGUGAGGCCAGGCUGCUUUGAUUUUGGGAUCUAACUCAACUUUGUUAUAUGCCAAAUACCCUCCAGGCUGUCCUACUUUUCUGGAUCUUCUCCUGUGUCAGAUCUCCUGUACAGCUCCGUCUUUCUGUCCUUUAGGAGAACAGCACCCCGCCACCACCCCACUGUUCCCAGAGAGAGAGAACCCUAAGCUGGUUUGCCUGCUAUUUAAAACACGUUGCAAUUACAUUUGGCGAUCUUAAGUGAAGAUUAUGAAAAUGUGAAUCACUAU